GGAGACUGGCAAGAAAAGUGCUCUGGGGAGUGUAGGGAGGUGUCACAACCUGAGCACCAAAGGUACUGCUGUGACAGCAUCCAGAAGACAGGAGAGAACAGAUCAAAAAGUCCAAUUCCCUGGAUCCUCAGACAACCAAACCCUCCCGUGGGGCUGAAAUGUUCCCUUUGGUUACGUUUUGUACAACAUUGUACAGACAAACUGGAGAUUAUGAAAUUAAACCAUAAUUCAGUAAAAUCUA